UACGUAGGGGGCAAGCGUUGUCCGGAAUCAUUGGGCGUAAAGAGCGUGUAGGCGGCCCGGUAAGUCCGCUGUGAAAGUCCAGGGCUCAACCCUGGGAUGCCGGUGGAUACUGUCGGGCUCGAGUCCGGAAGAGGAGUGUGGAAUUCCUGGUGUAGCGGUGAAAUGCGCAGAUAUCAGGAGGAACACCGGUGGCGAAGGCGGCUUGCUGGGCCUUACCUGACGCUGAGGAGCGAAAGCGUGGGGAGCGAACAGG
rnacentral:rRNA from 1 species